rnacentral:lncRNA from 1 species
CCAAGCUCAACCGGAGCACUUCCAAACCACUUGUCCACAAGCUCUCAAGGUAUCAACACCUCCAAGAACAGAUUUUAUCACACAAAACCCUCUUCCAAGCUUUCCAAAAUCACCAAUCAAGCUCCAAUAUUCACAUAUACACAACCUAAGCCACAAUCAUCAUACCCAUACACAACAUCUCAAUACCCAAACAUCAUAGAACAACAAAUUAUACUAGGGUUGAGAAUCUUACCACACCC